CCUCACUCAGUACAAAACACUAUACGCUCACUCUCACCCCCUAUAGCUCUCUUUCUCCCUCUCAGCACACUGGCGUCACAAGCUAUCACUUGUUCUACAAUCACGACCACCUCCAUCGAUAAGUAGGCUUUUCUUUUUGUUCAUCACAAUUUUUUCUUCUUCUCACUUGUAGGUAAGUACUUUCUUGUGGAUGCGGGAUAUACCAAUGGUCCGGGAUUUUUAGCACCAUAUCGAGGGAUUAGAUAUCAUCUCAAUGAAUGGAUUGGAAACACCCCUCAAAGUUACAAGGAGUUAUUUAAUCUUUGCAAGUGCUCGAAAUGCAAUAGAAAGGUCAUGUGGGAUCUUGAAAAAAAAAUGAAGUACAUUAAGAACUCCUUUAUUUUUUGAUAUAAAGACACAAAUAAGAAUUAUCAAUGCUUGUUUUGUGUUACAUAAUUUCAUAAGAGACGAACAACAAACUGAUCAACUUUUAGAAGUUGAAGAAUUAAAAUUCUUAUUUGUUGUUGAUGAAGAGUUAGUCCAUCAAUCAAGGGAAGAAGAAAAUAAUGUCAUUGAUGAUA